GGAAAUCUCACCAGGCCCGGACACUGGAAGGAUUGACAGAUUGAUACCUCUUUCUUGAUUCUGUGGGUGGUGGUGCAUGGCCGUUCUUAGUUGGUGGAGUGAUUUGUGGCUUAAUUUGACUCAACGCGGGAAAUCUCGCCCGGCCCAAACACUGGAAGGAUUGACAGAUUGAUUGCUCUUUCUUGAUUCGAACAAGACUCUGUCCUGCUAAAUAGUGUCUGCUUCUCUUUUAAGCAGACAAUUCUUCUUAGAGGGACUGGCGACUCUUAGUCACACAAGAUUGAGCAAGAA
rnacentral:rRNA from 1 species